UACAGAGGCCUCAAGCGUUGUUCGGAUUCAUUGGGCGUAAAGGGUGCGCAGGCGGUCGGGUAAGUCGGAUGUGAAAUCCCGGGGCUCAACCCCGGAACUGCAUUCGAUACUGCCUGGCUGGAGGAUUGGAGAGGAGAGUGGAAUUCACGGUGUAGCAGUGAAAUGCGUAGAGAUCGUGAGGAAGACCAACGGCGAAGGCAGCUCUCUGGACAAUUCCUGACGCUGAGGCACGAAGGCCAGGGGAGCAAACGGG
rnacentral:rRNA from 1 species